rnacentral:tRNA from 1 species
GCGAGUGUGGCGUAAUUGGUAGCCGUGACGGUCUUAGAAACCGUUGUCGAAAGGCGUGUAGGUUCGAAUCCUAUCACUCGUA